CGGCGAGCGAAAAGAAAAUAGUUCAGCACUAAGUCACUUUGUCUUUAUGGCAAAUGUGAGAUGCAGUGUAUGGAAUGUCAAAUUUCUAGUAUGAGAAAUUAACGAUUUAAGUCCUUCUUAAAUGAGGCCAUUUACCCAAAGAGGGUGCCAGGCCCGUAUAACGUUAAUGAUUACUAGAUGGCAUUUCCAAAGAGUCGUGUUGCUUGAUAGUGCAGCACUAAGUGGGUGGUAAACUCCAUCUAAAACUAAAUAUAACCAUGAGACCGAUAGUAAACAAGUACCGUGAGGGAAAGUUGAAAAGAACUCUGAAUAGAGAGUUAAAUAGUACGUGAAACUGCUUAGAGGUUAAGCCCGAUGAACCUGAAUAUCCAUUAUGGAAAAUUCAUCAUUAUGAUUUUAAUAUUUAUAAUAUUAUAAUAAUGGUGUGCAUUUUUUCUAUAAAGGACAUUGUAAUCUAUUAACAUGCAUUAUUUAUCAUAAGAUCAUUAGAUUAUGUUUAUUCAAAUUACUUUGCUUGCAAUUUAAUAUCGAAUAAAUUCUUUUGAUUUGAUAAAGUGUUGAUAGAUUUAUUAUAUACAGUGCUUAAAUAUUUAUAUUUUAUAAUAUCAUAUUAAUCAAUGAUUUUUAUGUUCAUUAUAUGCACUUGUAUGAUU
rnacentral:rRNA from 1 species